rnacentral:rRNA from 1 species
AAGCGGCGGAGCAUGUGGCUUAAUUCGACGCAACGCGAAGAACCUUACCAAGGCUUGACAUACACCGGAAACACCCAGAGAUGGGUGCCGCCUUGUGGUCGGUGUACAGGUGGUGCAUGGCUGUCGUCAGCUCGUGUCGUGAGAUGUUGGGUUAAGUCCCGCAACGAGCGCAACCCUUGUCCCGUCUUGCCAGCAGGCCCUUCGU